rnacentral:rRNA from 1 species
UAAUUCCAGCUCCAAUAGCGUAUAUUAAAGUUGUUGCAGUUAAAAAGCUCGUAGUUGGAUUUGUGGCUGUCGCGAGCGGCCUGGCACUUGGUGCUAGUGCCUGCCUGUGACGCCAUCCUUGGGUGGAACCUGUGUGGCAUUAGGUUGUCGUGCAGGGGAUGCCCAUCGUUUACUGUGAGAAAAUUAGAGUGUUCAAAGCAGGCUUAUGCCGUUGAAUAUGUUAGCAUGGAAUAAUAAGAUAGGACCUUGGUACUAUUUUGUUGGUUUGCGCACCAAGGUAAUGGUUAAUAGGGACAGUCGGGGGUAUUCGUAUUCCAUUGUCAGAGGUGAAAUUCUUGGAUUUUUGGAAGACGAACUACUGCGAAAGCAUUUACCAAGGAUGUUUUCAUUAAUCAAGAACGAAAGUUAGGGGAUCGAAGAUGUUAGAUACCAUCGUAGUC